CCAAUCAGAAGAGAAGGCGGGUUCUUCCGGGUGCCAGGCGGCGGGUUCCGCCUAGCAGCUGAGCAGGCUUGAGUGUUUUGGGGUGCUGUGCUUUCUGUCCUGCCGCUGGAUGCUAUGAAGUGCGCUCAGGCAAGCUCCGAAGUUGCGACAUGGAUUGUCCAGAAAUAGGGUUCCAACCCAUAACAAAGGAAACAACCCUGAUUUACAACCAGCCACCAGGCCCAUCCCCAUGUCAAAGAGCAGGCCUCUAACAAAGUGCUCAAUGGGGCAUUGCAGGAUCACAAUCAACAGUAAGGCCUGGUGUGCCAUAAAGGUUCCGUUUUCUUCUUGUGAAAAGCAUAGUUCUGCCACAUGGGCAAGAUGACACCUGGUGACAACCAUUUGAAAAGGAUGCGGUGACUUAUGAUGAUGUGAAUGUGAACUUCACUCAAGAAGAGUGGGCUAUUCUGGAUCCUUUACAGAGGAGUCUCUACAAAGAUGUGAUGCUGGAGACCUAUAAGAACCUCACUGCUAUUGGCUGCAACUGGAAAGACCGUAAUAUUGAAGGACAUUUUCAAAGUUUCAGAAGACAUGUAAGGUAAUUGUCAUGUGCAAGUUGGUAUGGAACUGCCUCUAAAGAAAUGUUACUGUGUCCUAGAAGUUUUAAAGAUAAGCAACAGUGUAAAAAGAGAGGCACUUCUUUAAGUGUAUUGAUUAUUAAUUCUCACAAAUCUAUGUACCUCAGUGUCAGGUGUCUGAUUUGUGUUUACAAGGCUUUCCUCUAAGAAAGAAGACAAGGAAACAAUGCCUACAGAUAUUACCAUUCAAAUCAGAGCCACAUUACAGCUACUCUGUAGAAAUGCCAAUCUAUUUAGUCUCAUACCACUCACAUAUUGCAUUGUGUGUGUGUACAUAUAUAUGAUAUAUAUUAUGGGUGAUAAGUAUAUGUUUCUAAUGGGCAAAUAUUUCAUGGUAAAGCUGAUUAAGUUAAAGACGCAGUUUAUGAGAAUCAAGAAU
rnacentral:sRNA from 1 species